AGAAGUGAUACAUUUCCUCACCGCCCUCCUGUUCUCUUUGUGAACAACAUGCGUUUUCCAAGAAGUUAAGUGAAACUAAGGAUCCAGUUGGUGGCCACUGAACAGAGAGAAGAACCCAUGGUAUACUGCUGACAAAAGAGGAAGGAGCCAUUUUAAUCACAGUCUCAGAAGCUGUACAGAUACAGGAAUCUUUGCUGAUUUUCUUCAUGGAUGUACACUAAGCACUUACUUUGCUGAACAUACUUAGACCAAAUCCUGAUACUUCUUCAUCUUUGCUUCUGGAAUACUCUAUAGUCAUGUCAUCCAACAAAUAUAAUGUGAGCCACAUAUGACAUCUCAAUCUGAACCAGCCACCUUUCAAUGCUUAAUAACUCCAUGUGGCUAGUGCCUGCCAUACUGGACAAUGUAAGUCUAAAAUUUAUUCUCCUUUGUCAGCCUUAGGAAAACUAGGGUAAUUUAAAAAUACCCAUUUG